CCUACGGGCGGCAGCAGUGAGGAAUAUUAGUCAAUGGACGCAAGCCUGAACCAGCCAAGCAGCGUGAAGGAAGACGGCCCUACGAGUUGUAAACUGCUUUUAUAAAAGAAUAAAGCUAAAUACGUGUAUUCAGCUGAAAGUACUGUACGAAUAAGGAUCGGCUAACUCCGUGCCAGCAGCCGCGGUAAUACGGAGGAUCCAAGCGUUAUCCGGAUUUAUUGGGUUUAAAGGGUGCGUAGGCGGAUUGAUAAGUUAGUGGUGAAAGUUUGGGGCUUAACUGUGAAAUUGCAUCUAAUACUGUUGAUCGUGAGUGUAGAUGCGGUAGGCGGAAUGUGUGGUGUAGCGGUGAAAUGCUUAGAGAUCAUACAGAACACCGAUUGCGAAGGCAGCUUACCAAUCUAUCACUGACAUUGAUGCUCGAAAGUGUGGGUAUCAAACAGGAUUAGAUACCCUUGUAGUC
rnacentral:rRNA from 1 species